GUUUGAUAGUUUCCUGGUCUGCAGUAAACCCAUUUAGGUUUGGUGGGACAAUUGGGGUGUAUCAAUAAAAACAAUGGACACUGUGCAAGUUUUGUGUUGAAUAAUGUGUUUUAAACAACCCAGACUACCUUUUAACUCUCGUUUUGUAUAGACCUAAUGUUUUUCAGUAUCAUGCUUUUUGAACAUAAUUAAAGUCUAGUAAACUCGAAAAGUAAUAGUCUUAAAACAUAAACUAUUAUAUCUUCGCUAACCUCAAGACUCCUAGUUCCCAGGCUAGCUUGACAACAUCAUUUACUCAUGAAUGCUUUUUCUGAGGUUUACGUGUGAUUACUUUGCAUCUUCCAGAGAGGUAUAUUGGACAUCUGAAACUGCCAAAUGGAAUAUGGCCUUGAUGCAGUGGUAUUAAAGGGAAGGAACGUGACCAAUCUGAUUGGCCUUAAUGAAACUAAACUUUGACCAUACACACAGAUAAUUAAUUCCCCUUAAACGAACCUGUUCUACAUCCGCACUGCAGGCUCUCUACUGUCUUUAGUCAGGAAAUUGCUGAAGUUAAGUUGGACACCUCUUAAUUCACCAGCACUGUCCACUGCUGCUAGAGCUUGACAGUUGCACUUUGACUGAAAAAAUUGUGGCCCCAUUAUGUUUUGUUUGUGGUAUAUGUUAUGUUGUGUAACUGCAUUUUGUUUGACUGUCAUUACUAGGUGAUAUUGGAUCUUCUUUAUCAUUGGAAUGUACAGCACACCAUAUCUACAGAUUCAUGUAUUUUGCAUUCAGUUGGGAUUUACUUUAAUAAUGUAUUGCACACCUGUUUUGUCACCAUGGCCAUAAUAAUCAUAAUCAUAAAUCAUAGACAGCACUGUUUAGAAUGAUUACUGGGGUAGGUCUUAUAUGUGGAGCAUUAUUAUGAACUGUGUUUAGAUAUGGAUAUUCAAGUUUAAAGCAGCAGAUGGCAGUGUCUAAACAAAAAUUGUUCUUGUUGGUGACGAACACCACAGAUCAGUUUGCAUUGCAAUGGUUGCAUUGAAGAUGGUGUAAACAAGAUUGAUGUAAAAUGAAACAAAUGUAUCUGAAAGAUUUCCAUUAAUUAUUUAGUGUAUGCUCUUCAUUCACAUUAUGCAUGCUUUUCAGUAAUUGAAGCUAAUGUUUCUGUUCAUCAUCAUGCUGCAUUAUUUAUAAAUAUGUGGCAGCUGAUAAAGGCAAUAUACCUAGCAAUAAAACUCAAAUUGCUGUAAUUAGAGUUUCAAUAUUCUGCUUUGUAUGGAACAUAAAUGCAAGUUUCUAAUUUGCUAAUUAGCAAAACUAAAUGGGAAACUAUACAAGAAUAGCAAACAGAGUUUAAGUGGGUUUUGCAGAAUGUAUUGCUUUGUUUUAUAGUCUAUAAUGGUCUUUUCAAAACUGUUUUAAAGUAAGGCUGACUUUAAAGGAAAACACAUACUUAAUACACUUUUGGAUAACAUGUAUUUGUGGAGGAGGGGAGUUGUUACAAUGCCAGCUGCAGGCGAAGAUCGGGGGGAGUGGAUAUGUCAUCCUGCAGCUGCAGCCGUAGGGAACUACAGUAUAUAAUCAUGCCUAACCUUUAUCUGUUCUGCCUACAGUAACAUCAGGGCAGAGGAAUGAGCCAUGCAUGUGAUUGCAGAGAACAGCGUGUGUUCUAUUGUUGACCUAAUAUAGACACUGCGUGUGAUUUAUGUAACCGGACUAUUUGCAUUUGACUCCAGUCAAUAAAGCACUUGGUGUGAAUCCUCCAUCUGCACCAGACAAUAACAAACUCUGUUACAGUGGUUCAGUGAGGAAAUUACAGAUGGCCAAGUGGGGAGCAACUGUGAGUGGGGAAAUCUCAGCUGUGGCAAGCACUAAGGCACCUCGCAGCAUUGUAGGAGAGACUGAUGCUGGCCUCUGGGGCAACAACCACAGCUUCCCAGCAUCCUCCCCUCAAGAGGGGUUGUACUGGAUACCUGUAACGGCGCUUCUCCACUACCGUGCCGUGCUGGAAUCCGUGCUCCCGCUUUGUUUUGCUUUCUCCACUACCAACUGACCUGUGCCGGGCACCAGUAUCCGUGCCGAUUUUAGCUCCUGCUCUGGGGUAGGUACCAAAGGUACUAUCCAUGCUGCAAUUUGAUACUGCAGACCGUUGAUUGGUCAGUGGAAAUCAUCACAAAUACGUCAUCCCAUGUUCAUGUUUGUUCACCGGCAGCAACCGCUAUUUUUAAAUACCACAACAGCAAAUACCACAACAGCAAGAGAGAGUAACGUUAACUAGUGAAUACUACAGUCAAUAUCUGGGACUAAAUAAAUAUACAACCUUACCAUUGGUUUUACGCGUAGAGAUGUCCCUUUUGAGACUGAGUGGUCAUAUAUUGUCUUGGACAAUCCGUUUGUGAAAUAUACGUGUAUUUGUGAUGCUUGGGUACCUUCCAAAAUAGCUGUGCAUAAUACCACACCUGUUGUUUAUGGCGUUGUCGCCCUUUUUAGUACAGUUUGGCUUGAUUGACAAUUCAUUUAUUAAGUAGGUGAGAGUAUAAGCUUUCUAACGAUGUAUAACAUGUAUGAUUUUGCUUUUGGAUAGCGUUUUAUAGGUCAGCGUAACCGUAAAUUUUGGUAUCAUCGCAUUCACUUACGCAUUCACUCCGUGUUUGCAGAAAAGACACUGCACAUAACUAAAUGUUGUCAACGAUUUCUCAUAACGUCUUGGAAAAUACUAUUAUUAUUGAGGACUUCUGGGCAUAGCUAAGUGAAAUGUUUGCUGAUAGACCUAUCUGACAUCGUUUUCUGGAGCAAAACAUAAGUGGAUAGAACUUGAUUUACUGUCUCUGUCUCUAUCUACUGAACACAGAUAAAAUGUCAUCAUUGCUAUGUAAGUAUUACUGCUCAAAUAUUUCAGUUAUGUACGUUAUUUUUAAAAUUGAGUGUCUUUAAAUAGGUUAGUGGUAUUAUAUAAUGUGGAUAUUUCACACUGUAAUGUUAGCGUUAGUAGUGUAAUAGUUUUUGUGAUACAUGCAACAGUGAAGAUGAGUGUUUGAACAUUGCCAAAAUGUGGUGGACGGUGAAAAUUGUUUUCAUAUCGUCCCAUCCCCAAACAAGAAAACAUACGAGAGUACAGAGUAUAGGAAUACAUACAAAAGUUAAUUAUUACACAUUUACUCUGCUUGACUCCUCCCAUGACUCCUCCUACCUUCACGGGUCUGUUGUGUAAUGGAGAAGUGCAACAGGCAACACGGCACGGGUAGGAUACGAAUGCUUGCCGUCCUGUACCGUACCGUGCUGGUCAAUGGAGAAGCGCCAUUAGGCUACCCAUAAAGGGGUAUGUGUCAGGCUUUUUUUUGGAUUCUGGGUGCAAUGUCUAGUUCAGCCUGAGGAAUUGGUGAAAAUAUUGUGGGUGUCCAUGGUGUAUGCAUGGGGAUAUUCACAAUUACCCUGUGGUACCUGUGGAAAUUCAUCACAAGGGGAAAACGCUUUGAGUAAAGACUGUGAUGUUAGCAGGGUUGUUAGGCAUUAAAUCAAUUCGGACCUCUGUCUACUAUCCCCAAACUGACCGCUUCAUAGACCAUUUUAAUAAAACGCUCAAAACAAUGAUUCAUAGAUAUGUUCACGAAGAUAGCCAACAAGUGGUUGAACCCACUGUUUGCAGUGCGGGAGGUUCCCCAAGUUCCAUGAGAUUUUCUCCCUUUUGUCGUGCCAGGAAGGGAGAUGCUCUGCUAUCCACCUGGGGUUAGCGCCAGCCCUACUCACCAAGUGCAGCAGUUGUGUCCCAUUGCAAUUACUGUAGCUGCUGCCCAUUGCCUAAUCAUUAAGCCUUAUAAAAGAGCCUUGCUUCAAUACCUAAAGAGGCUUUUCUGUAUGGUUUUUGUUGCAUUUGCUCUUGGUUUUGUGUUGCAGACUCUUUUGCCCUGCCAUAGCCUUAGUGGAGAGUUUGGCUACUGAUACCUCAUCUUGUUUUAUGAAGGUUUUUUGUUGUUUUUUUCUUCUUCAGUUUUUGGGUCCAAUAAAAAGCAUGAAACCAGGACAGAGGAGUGAGCCAUGCAUGUGGCUGCAGAGGUAACAAAUCAGACCUUGCUAUACCAGUUCAGUCGCUGACCCUUUGUGUUUGGGGGCAUAUGCUUUCAGUGCUCUCCCCACUCAGGAUAAAACUGGGGGAUUGAAGAAAUCCACUGGAUCUCAGUUACAAAACUGUUUUAUUUUCUCAUCGUAUUUGAAAGAUGUAAAAUAUAAAAAAUGAACACUGAGGAGCAGUGGAUCCUCAUCUGCCAUCUGUAUGGAAAAAGGCCAGAGCACAUCUAAUGAGGGCAUGCACCAUUAGCACUGUCAUGAUUAGAUUGCCACGAGUGUGCACUGUGUAUAUUUGUGUGUGGGGAAAAAAAAGCAUUUUGACUGUGAGUGGAUGCCAAACGCAAACAAAUAGGAACCUGGGGCAAUCUGAUGCACCAUCAUUUCAUAAUUAUUUGUGUAAUAGAGUAUUACAAGUUAUUGUUUUUUGGAGGCAGUAGUUUUCUAGGCUCUGAGAAUGUACAAAUACGUAUUGUAGUGACACAGAAGGCUUGUCUCCCAUCUAGGCUUUGUGGUAGGUGGACCGUUAUGCAAACAAAUUAUAAUGGAAAAGACAGCUUGAGCCAAUUAAACCAAACUUGGAUGUGCUUGUUCCAGCUUUAA